UGCUGGAGAACCGAGUAGUAGGGUGGUAUAGUUUGAUCUUCAUGGCCCAUUUAUUCCUAUAUGAUUGUUGUUACAUGGAAUGUUAGGGACUUGAAUAAAGUAUAUAACAUAAGGAAAUAGAGAAAUAUAUUAGAGAGAAUAAAGUAGCUUUAGUUGCAGUAAUUGAACAUAGGGUGAAAGAGCACAAAGCAACACAAGUGAUACAGAACAUAACUAGUAACUGGAAGUGGGUUGAUAAUUAUGCAACAAGUAGUAGGGGUAGAAUAUGGGUGUUAUGGGAUCCAAAAGUGCUGGAUUUUAACAUGCUCAGCUUUUCAUCACAGAUUAUUACAAGGAGAGUUUUGAUACAUAAUACGAAUAUAGAGUUCGUGCUCUCAGCUGUAUAUGGCUUGCAUACUGUGGAGCAGAGAAGACUCUUAUAGGAGGAAUUUAGGCAAGUGUGUAAUGCAAUUAAUGGCCCUUGGAUUGCUAUGUGGGACUAUAACACUGUUCUAAAUAUGGAUGACAGGUAUAAUGGGAGCCAAAUUCAGGAGAUGGAAACCAAGGUCUUCUCAAAUUUCAUGGUGGAUAUGAGGCUAAUUGAAUUGAAAACUAUUGGAAGAAAGUAUAUCUAGACUAAUAACUAUAUCCAUAGUAGGAUUAAUAAGGCUUCGGUGAACUCAAGAUGGUUGGAUACUAUGCCAUAGAUGGAGGUGAUACUGUAGGAUUGCGUAUAGGUGUUCGUAACACGCAGCGGAAGACAAUAACAAUCCUAGACAGAUCUUUUCGUGUUUAAAAAUUUAUUUACAUGUCAAUAGAUUGGAUCUAAGACGUACCUGGUGAAAAAAGUCUCGUUUCAAAUUCUUCGAUAGUGCGAAAACUCUAUGCGUAUCCACACCGAGACCGAUCCUUACUAUCAACUCUUUGAUCCAUGAAAUCCAUGAACAAAUUGAACGAAAAUUACUAUGCUGAAAUUCUUCUCAAAGUUUCAGCCUGAAAGUAAAAGAAGAAAACUAAUUUUCUUAUAAAGAAUAG
rnacentral:lncRNA from 1 species